AAUCUUCCACAAUGGACGAAAGUCUGAUGGAGCAACGCCGCGUGAGUGAAGAAGGUUCACGGAUCGUAAAGCUCUGUUGUAAGGGAAGAACAAGUACAGGCGUAACUGUCUGUACCUUGACGGUACCUUACCAGAAAGCCACGGCUAACUACGUGCCAGCAGCCGCGGUAAUACGUAGGUGGCAAGCGUUGUCCGGAAUUAUUGGGCGUAAAGCGCGAGCAGGAGGUCCUUUAAGACGGAUGUGAAAGCACACGGCUCAACCGUGGAGGGUCAUUGGAAACUGGAGGACCUGAGUACAGAAGAGGAAAGCGGAAUUCCACGUGUAGCGGUGAAAUGCGUAGAGAUGUGGAGGAACACCAGUGGCGAAGGCGGCUUUCUGGUCUGUAACUGACGCUGAGGCGCGAAAGCGUGGGGAGCAAACA
rnacentral:rRNA from 1 species